GGGGACGUAGCUCAGGGGUAGAGCGCUCGCUUUGCAUGCGAGAUGUCCCGGGUUCAAUUCCCGGCGUCUCCA